rnacentral:miRNA from 1 species
UCACCAAGCACUUGUCGGGCUAU